CAGCCCUCGUUUUCCCCCCGGCAUCCUGUGUUGUACAAGUUCUUGUCAGGGCUGGCUGUUGUCUCGGCUACGCUCGAGUAAUACUUUAAAUCCGGCUGGGUAGGUUUGGAAGGGAUGAAGCAGUUCAUGGUAACGCGCUGCUCGAGAUGCUGCUGCUAGGACGGCUGUGGUACUGCCACACACACUGAGCUCAGGAACCGCAGGCUCUAGGGCCACUGCGCUUGCGUGCAGUGGCAACCCGCCCGCGCGCUCACACCUACUGGCAAGAGGGACUCAAGGGUAGGUUGUAGUUAUGACUCCUACAAAACGGCGAGGCCACAUCGCCUGUGGGCACUGGGCAGAAGCCAAUUGGCGUAACAUAACCUAAAGAAGCUCAAAGAAGUAAAGUCAAACGAGAUACCCAUUAGGAUGAUUUUUAGGUGUCCGUCAGGGAUUUUAUAAGAAGGUCGACUUCGGUAACUGCAGAUAGCAAAGCAAUAUCAUGCUGCACCGUCUUUAGUAAUUGUGCCAGCACACUGGAAGCCUUGGGUGGCGGCCACUCAACUGACUUUUCUCUUUUAGCUGUACUCCGCAGUUUUGGAAACUGUUUUGAAAAUUAGGUAGGUGAAGUCCAGUACGACCUAAAUGCUAAUACUGGUGGUAAACAUCGAUUUUAGUUUCUCUAAACGCAAUGCAAAUUUUAUAUUCCGAGUUUCCAAGUUAUACUGUGCUGGUUGAUGUGCUUAAGUGAGCGCACAUACGAUGUGCCCUUUAUUCAUCCGUGCUUGGGACACAUGGCAUGUGGUAAAUCCGUGUCACUCGAUAACAAGUGGAUGUGAUAAACGUGGUAGAGCCAAGUGCAGCGAUGUUUCUGGUAUUUCUGGACUCAAUACACUAGUAUGAGUUUUGGAAGCUGUUUGCAUCAUGGACAGUUGCAUUCUCCGUGCAUUUCAAAGGGGUUUUGACAGCUGAAUGCGUGAUGCGCGGUGGGUGUGUGUGUGUGCAUGUGGUCUAUGGAGUCUGCGUCUGAGUUGGUGCAAUUACUUGUAUUUGCAUCCCCCACCAAAUUGCACUCCUAAUUUUAAUUACCUCAGAGACUUAAGUUGUUAUUUCAGUGUUUUCGGUCCCAUUUUGAGGAAUGCUAGCAGCCCAAGAAAGCAGGCUACACAGCUGCAGAAACGCACAUCAACGACUCAUUUUAUCAGUAAUUGUCAUACUUAAUGGGAAUUUUAGAAAUAAAGCUAUAUUUCUUUAUACAGCCUUGGAUUUUGAAGUAAGGUGAAGUGACUAACACCAUCACAAGGAAAUGUAGAUGGAUACAGAAACAUCAGUACUUCUAUCCCGUUUUCUGUAGAACAGGGUCUGAAACAUCUCAAGCUGCUAGGUGUUUUCUUCUGAAGAACAUUUCCCUGGCUUGGUUUUCCAUUUUGACGACUUUCUCCGUUUCUACUUUAGCCUAGAUGUCUUUCAGACAGAUUUUUCUCUGUAUUGUUGUCUCGUGUUUUUUUCCCUUGCAGCGCAGAGAACAAUCGGGUUUCGGUAUUUUUCAAUCAAACGUCCUGAAGCCCUUCAUCAUUUGAAAACUUUUAUUUUUCAAGAUGAGACUGAAGUCUUGGGGAACUCUGUUUUUGGAACAUGACAAAGAAGAACCCCUCUCCUACUUCAUCUUGCCUUGCUCUACUGAUCACAAAACUGAGGGCUACAUCUGGAACAUUCUAUGGUGACUAACUUAUACUGAUGAGGGUAGAAGAAGGUGGCUGUGUCAGUGUAAGAGGACUCAGUAACAUCUUCCAUGAUUCAAGAUUAACCUUUGGAAGUACACAAACUCAAAUGUAUACCAGUUGGUGUAAUGAGAGCUUCAUCUUUAAAGAGGAAGAAAUAGCUAUGUACUGAUGAAAGGAUUAAUCGGAUUUGCUGGAGUUACCUCAACCAUUUUAUUUUCUGUCUGCUUAAUAUAUUUAUUAUUUAUUUAUUUAUCUGUAUUUGUUAAAUGGGUUAAAAUACUGAUUCAUAUGCCCCUCGUUUUGACACAACCUUGGAGAGCUAUGUGUUUAACUGACUUUCUCAGAAUCACACGGUAGACAAAUUGAGGGUGAAACAAUUUAAUUGUGGAUAAUAGGAAACUGCUUGCUAACUGCUUAUAGCCUUAGUCUAAGUCCCACACACAAUAUGAUGCAUCUAGUGCAGAUUUACUAAUAAUGGGACUACUAGGCAAUGUACAGAUAGAAAUAUUAAGUAAGGCUAGCCACUAUCUAAUUUUGUGACCUCGGUAAUGUGGUAUUCAAUCUGCUGUUGUCUCAGAUUUAUCUUUUGAUACAAUAUGAAGACAAUCUAAAGUAAGAGAUUGGGGCAAAGAAAGGGAUUGUCUGAACCACAGAUAAAACAUUGGUAAAACUGUGAUAUGAACUCCUUCUACUCUUUGUUGUAUACAUACUGUUUAAAUGUCUAAAAUUAAAUUACCUUUUAUAUUGUAGCAUUACUAAAUUGCAGGUUUUAGUUACAUCCGAUCACAAAUAAAAUUGAUUUAUCACCAUAAGUCAUUAAAACUGUUUGCUAAAUAAAUGAAAAGAAAUCAAUGUUUGCUUUAGUAUAGGCAGAUGAUUGAUCAUUUAUUAUUAAUUGUGCAGGUUCAUACAUUAAAAUGAUAAUCUGAAUUAACUCAAAAGAUGAAACAGUUUGGAAAUGUUACUCUGGCUGGAUAAAAAGACUGAAAUGGCAUCAGCAGAAAAAAGAUGAUUGAUAUUCUGUACUGUUCCUUUAAUAAGACAAAUAUUGGAGAAUGUUUUGUUUGAGAUUUUAACAUAUAGACUGAAGAAGGCAGAAUAUGUGAUCUUGUCAAUUUCUGAACUUUAAAGGGCUAAAUUAUUUUAUCAAACACAA